rnacentral:pre_miRNA from 1 species
UAUUGUUGUUGGCGUUGGCAUGGCUCAAUCAGACCAAAGUUUCUCAAUGGAAUAUAUAUGGGUCCUUUCAUCUGAUUGAGCCGUGCCAAUAUCACGUUAUACUGG